GGCGAACGCUGGCGGCGUGCCUAAUACAUGCAAGUCGAGCGCUGAGGGCAGGUACUUGUACCAACUGGAUGAGCAGCGAACGGGUGAGUAACGCGUGGGGAACCUGCCUUUGAGCGGGGGACAACAUCUGGAAACGAAUGCUAAUACCGCAUAAAAACGUUAAACACAAGGUCUUAGGUUGAAAGAUGCAAUUGCAUCCCACAAAGAUGAUCCCGCGUUGUAUUAGCUAGUUGGUGAGGUAAAGGCUCACCAAGGCGAGGAUACAUAGCCGACCUGAGAGGGUGAGCGGCCACAUUGGGACUGAGACACGGCCCAAACUCCUACGGGAGGCAGCAGUAGGGAAUCUUCGGCAAUGGACGAAAGUCUGACCGAGCGACGCCGCGUGAGUGAAGAAGGUCUUCGGAUCGUAAAACUCUGUUGGUAGAGAAGAACGUGGGUGAGAGUGGAAAGCUCAUCAAGUGACGGUAACUACCCAGAAAGGGACGGCUAACUACGUG
rnacentral:rRNA from 1 species